AGAGAUUCAAAUGACAAAUUUGAAAUAAGGUAAAUUAAAAUGCAGAAAUGUUAAAGCUUGCCGACGACGUGGAAGCUUGG